AGCCCCGUCGUCUAGCGGCCAAGGAUGCCGGCCUUUGGAGCCGGCGACGUGGGUUCAAAUCCCACCGGGGCUA
rnacentral:tRNA from 1 species